ACUAUGGAGUGUUAUAUCAAAUGAAAGUAGUUCUAUAGAACAAAAUCAGACACGUUGAAGUAGUAA
rfam:Clostridium argentinense CDC 2741 T732.Contig246, whole genome shotgun sequence.